CUCAGCUUUCACUAAACCAUGUAACUUUCUAGCCCUCCUGGUUGUGGAGAGGAGUCAGAAAAUGUGAAGCGAGCGUAUCCUAAUGGUUAAACAACGGGUGCCUCCCCAUACUGGGGCUGGAGGUGCACAAUCUAAAAGGAAGGACAUAUACUCGCCCCGUGUUUCCUCUGCCCAGUGACACCCUCUAUCCUGCCUGCUCUCCCCAUGCCAUGUUACCUGUCCUUUCCCUCUGCCUCCCCAAGGGCACAUUCAGCAGCUGUUCCUGGCAUCAGGACAGGGAGAGGGAAUGAACAGAACAGGACAGUUUAUCAAGUGAUCCAUCCCCAGUCAUCCUGUCCCAGCUUCUGGCAGUCAGGGGUUUAGGGACACCCAGGGUAUGGGAUUUAUAUCCCUGACGAUCUUGGCUAAUAGCCAUUGAUAGACCAAUCCUGCAUGAAUUUAUCAAAUUCUUUUUUGAACUCAGUUAUACUUUUGGCCUUCACCACAUACUCUGGCAACAAGGUUCACAGGUAGAAAAGAGAACAAAGAAAUCAGCUGUUAGUGUUGGGGAUUAAAACACAGAGCUUUAGGGUAUGUCUAUAUGGCAAAUAAAACCCAUGGCAGCAAGUCUCAGAGCUCAGGUCAACUGACUAGGGCUUGCGCUACAGGGCUAAAAUUAGCACUAUAACAUUCCCAUUUAGGUUGAAGCCUGGGGUGUGAAACCAGUCAGGGGAAUGGGUCUCAGAGCCUGAGUUCCAGCUCCCAGGUUUCCAAUAUAGGAACAUCUAUACUUCUAUUUUUAGCCUUGUAGUUAGAGCCCAAGUCAGUUGACCUAGGCAAUGGGAUAUUCACCACACAAGCCUUGAGCUGGUUAAUGUGGGCCAGAAGGGGUCUAUUAACCUCAUAUAAUGCACUUGGGAGCCAGGGCCUGAUAAAGCCUAACUGUAGAUGAAGCCCAGCUAGGGGAGAAAAUGGAUUAGGAUUAUAAAACUAGCCAGUACAGGUAGGGAGAAGUAGCAGAGAAAGGGAACUGGCCAAAAACAAGGCAGAAGUAUGGGGGAGAGUGAAGCCCUAGGACCUACUCUGGAAUAGGAAAGCUGGCAAGAGGCUCAGAGUAGUGAAGUAGUUGUAGGGACUAGAAAAUGCUCUAAUGGUAAAGCCAGAGAUAGAGAAGUUAAGGUAGGAAGGAGCCCAGGGGAACAGCAGCAGAGACUGAGUAGACCAGGAUGCCUAGUCAUAAGAUUCCUGGUCUAGAACCUGGAAUUAAAGGUAGUGUUGGGCUUGGGUUCCCCUAUUAGCUACUGGGAAGUGGUAUGAGACCUAGAGAUAGAAUGGAAGGUGACAGCUUGUCUGUGGGACUCUGAUGCCCACAGGAGGGGGCUGUAUAGUGACCUGGUUGUGGGACUGAGUUAGAGGGGGAGUACGUCUAGUUGUGAAGACAGAGAAGAUCUACACUAUGAGCAGCCAACAAUGGGGUGCUGUAUUGGGCAAAUGCUUGUUCCCAGAUCUAAGUACAAGGAGGCUCCUCUAUGACCUACCCUGAGACACACUGCCACAGUGUGUGUGGCUCUCCCCUGGUGUAUACUUAACUUUUAGAGACUUGGUGAGGGCUGGUGGGAAGGGACUUAGAGACACAAGACACUUGUGUGCAGGGGAGUGGAAUAGAGAGGCAUGCUUUUGUAUCAGAGGAGUCCUAUUUAACUGCUGACCAGGCAGCCUCGGGAAGAAGGAAACUGGCUUCAAGAGAGGAAAAAGGCACUAUGAUUCCAAGAGGAAGCAUGUGCAGGAGGGGUGAUCCUGGACUCUGUAGAGGACUCUGACCUAAGCUCAAAGAACAGCUUAAGAUUCUCCAAUUUGAGAAUCUAAUGUAUGGACUAGAUGAAUGAAGUGAAUAACCACUCAGUAUGGAGCUCAUUAAGGUGGAAAAUGGAGGACUGGAAGACCUGAUUUUAAAAAAACAAAACAAACAUGCAACUACUUCCAGUGCAUUUAACACUCUAAACAAUAAGAUUCUCAAUAAAAUGAAAGGACAUUUCCUACAGUGAGUAAAGAGUCAAGAUUUAUGACCUUAGCUGCUUUUAUCAAUAGUUGUAGGACCUUAAGCACAGGAUGAAUGAAUUGGGCAGAUUGUUCUUGUCAGAAUAAUGUGGAGCAUUGCCACAGACUCUGAUUCACCAGCCUGUUUCUAACUCUUUCCUAAAUGGAAGUGAGCUCUGUCCAGCUGGGGUAGAGGAAUCUAUGUGCUUAAAAAACAGAACAACAUGAAAUCUGAGUAUCUUCCAACUUGUAUCCAGCAAGUAGGAGUGUAGCAAUCAGUGGUACAAAAUAAUCCGUUGCUAACCUGAACCCCUUGAGAGAGACAUAGAAGUCUUGCCUCUUUAAUUCUUCCCCACAGCUUUUAAAGGCAGGUCCUUUGUUUUCCAAGAUGCUGAGAGAGAGUGGCUGUUACUGAUUGGUAGUGCCUAGAAACUAUCAAGGCACUAUACAGAUAUAUAAUAAAGAUGAGUCCCUGCCCAGGACACAUCACAGUCUACUUGACAGAUGAGAUCUGCCAAGUGGACAAAAGAGGAAUACUGGGUAGGGCUGGAUGAAGUAACGAAGAGAUGAAGUGUGUAGUGGAAAGCAGGAUUACAGGGUCCCAUUUUGAAACACUCUGCUCUGCUUGAAAGAAAGGGAGAGUGGUUACUUUAUGUAAGGGGACUGUUGCCCCCUUACUAACAUUCAGUGGGGGUGUUUUAGUUGCUAGCUCCCA